rnacentral:rRNA from 1 species
CUAGGAAUCUUGGGAAUGGGCGAAAGCCUGACCCAGCAACGCCGCGUGGGCGAUGAAGGCCUUCGGGUUGUAAAGCCCUUUUGCGGGGGAAGAUGAUGACGGUACCCCGCGAAUAAGCCACGGCUAACUACGUGCCAGCAGCCGCGGUAAUACGUAGGUGGCGAGCGUUGUCCGGAUUUACUGGGCGUAAAGGGCGUGCAGGCGGUCCGGUAAGUUCGAGGGGAAAGCGACCGGCUCAACUGGGAGAGG